GGGCUGGCAAUAUAGCUCAGCGGUUCCUUCACAUGCUUUCUGGUUUCAGAAUAAUCCUUUUGGGGGUUCAAAACCCGCGGGUGCUAUCCAGCCUUUUU
ensembl:vault_RNA Vault Vault RNA